rnacentral:rRNA from 1 species
AAUGAACGCUGGCGGCGUGCUUAACACAUGCAAGUCGAACGGUAACAGGAAGAAGCUUGCUUCUUUGCUGACGAGUGGCGCACGGGUGAGUAAUGCAUAGGUAACGUGCCCCUUGGACCGGGAUAGCCACUGGAAACGGUGAUUAAUACCGGAUACUCCUAUUGAUUGAUUUUCAGUAGUGAAAUGUUUUUUCGCCAAGGGAUCGGCCUAUGUCCUAUCAGCUUGUUGGUGAGGUAAGAGCUCACCAAGGCGAUGACGGGUAGCUGGUUUGAGAGGAUGAUCAGCCACACUGGUACUGAGACACGGACCAGACUCCUACGGGAGGCAGCAGUGAGGAAUAUUGCACAAUGGGGGAAACCCUGAUGUAGCAACGCCGCGUGGAGGAUGACGCAUUUCGGUGUGUAAACUCCUUUUAUCAGAGAAGAACAUGACGGUAUCUGAUGAAUAAGCUCCGGCUAACUCCGU